rnacentral:rRNA from 1 species
GCCCCAGGGAUUAUUGAACGUAAAUUUGUGCAUGAACCCAUGCAAACAGGCUUAAAAGCAGUGGAUAGUCUGGUUCCUAUAGGCCAUGGUCAACGAGAACUUAUAAUCGGGGACAGACAAACUGGAAAAGCUGCAAUAGCUAUCGAUCUGUCCCCAAUAAUGAACUCUCGCUGA